rnacentral:rRNA from 1 species
GACGAACGCUGGCGGCGUGCUUAACACAUGCAAGUCGAACGGAAAGGCCCUGCUUGCAGGGUACUCGAGUGGCGAACGGGUGAGUAACACGUGGGUGAUCUGCCCUGCACUUCGGGAUAAGCUUGGGAAACUGGGUCUAAUACCGGAUAGGAGCCAUCUUUAGUGUGGUGGUUGGAAAGUUUUUUCGGUGUAGGAUGAGCUCGCGGCCUAUCAGCUUGUUGGUGGGGUAAUGGCCUACCAAGGCGGCGACGGGUAGCCGGCCUGAGAGGGUGUACGGCCACAUUGGGACUGAGAGACGGCCCAGACUCCGACGGGAGGCAGCAGUGGGGAAUAUUGCACAAGGGGCGCAAGCCGGAUGCAGCGACGCCGCGUGGGGGAUGAAGGCCUUCGGGUUGUAAACUCCUUUCGCUAGGGACGAAGCUUUUUGUGACGGUACCUAGAUAAGAAGCACCGGCUAACUACGUG